AUUGAACGCUGGCGGCAGGCUUAACACAUGCAAGUCGAGCGAGCGGCGGACGGGUGAGUAAUGUCUGGGAAACUGCCUGAUGGAGGGGGAUAACUACUGGAAACGGUAGCUAAUACCGCAUACCAUCAGAUGUGCCCAGGUGGGAGUAGCUAGUGGGUGGGGUAAUGGCUCACCUAGGCGACGAUCCCUAGCUGGUCUGAGAGGAUGAACAGCCACACGGGAACUGAGAUACGGGCCAGACUCCUACGGGAGGCAGCAGUGGGGAAUAUUGCACAAUGGGCGAAAGCCGGAUGCAGCAAUGCCGCGUGUGUGAAGAAGGCUUUCGGGUUGUAAAGCACUUUCAGCGAGGAGGCGUUACUCGCAGAAGAAGCACCGGCUAACUCCGUGCCAGCAGCCGCGGUAAUUC
rnacentral:rRNA from 1 species